rnacentral:rRNA from 1 species
GAUCCUGGCUCAGGAUGAACGCUGGCGGCGUGCUUAACACAUGCAAGUCGAACGGAACUACUUUGAUGAGAUUCUUCGGAAAGGAUUUGAUUUAGUUUAGUGGCGGACGGGUGAGUAACGCGUGGGUAACCUGCCUCAUACAGGGGGGAUAACAGUUGGAAACGACUGCUAAUACCGCAUAAGCGCACAGUACCGCAUGGUACGAAGUGGUGAAAAACCGUAACCCGGUUCGGGUAGUUGAGAUGGACCCGGCCGUCUGAUUAAG